rnacentral:rRNA from 1 species
UGGUAGUCCACGCCGUAAACGAUGUCGACUUGGAGGUUGUUCCCUUGAGGAGUGGCUUCCGGAGCUAACGCGUUGAGGANGUGGCUUACCGCCUGGGGAGUACGGCCGCAAGGUUAAAACUCAAAUGAAUNUGACGGGGGCCCGCACAAGCGGUGGAGCAUGUGGUUUAAUUCGAUGCAACGCGAAGAACCUUACCUACUCUUGACAUCCAGAGAACUUAGCAGAGAUGCUUUGGUGCCUUCGGGAACUCUGAGACAGGUGCUGCAUGGCUGUCGUCAGCUCGUGUUGUGAAAUGUUGGGUUAAGUCCCGCAACGAGCGCAACCCUUAUCCUUUGUUGCCAGCGAUUCGGUCGGGAACUCAAAGGAGACUGCCGGUGAUAAACCGGAGGAAGGUGGGGAUGACGUCAAGUCAUCAUGGCCCUUACGAGUAGGGCUACACACGUGCUACAAUGGCGCAUACAAAGAGAAGCGACCUCGCGAGAGCAAGCGGACCUCAUAAAGUGCGUCGUAGUCCGGAUCGGAGUCUGCAACUCGACUCCGUGAAGUCGGAAUCGCUAGUAAUCGUGGAUCAGAAUGCCACGGUGAAUACGUUCCCGGGCCUUGUACACACCGCCCGUCACACCAUGGGAGUGGGUUGCAAAAGAAGUAGGUAGCUUAACCUUCGGGAGGGCGCUUACCACUUUGUGAUUCAUGACUGGGGUGAA